rnacentral:lncRNA from 1 species
GUUUGGUUUUAUAAGGAACACAGUAAACAUAAAUCUUAUGAUUUUCAGGAAAUCUUUCACUCUGAGAUUGAAACAUGUUCCAUGAAAACGAGAAACAGAUGUGCAAUUGAAAUAUAAAACUAAAUAAAUUUAGAACUGCAAUUUAAAUCCCUUUAUAAACCCAGAUCAAUAUAUAGACUGUAUAUACUUUUAAAUUUUACAUUGGUUUUUCCUUUGCUCUUUUCUCUUGAAUGCUGUUACAUUUUUGCUCAAUUAACUGAAAUUAUACAUAAUAUUUUAAAUUAUUUAAUUGCAAUAAAUCUCCUCCUACACAGUCUUAAUUGGCACAGGCUAAAUGGAGGAAGUAAUAUGCCUUUUUUUAUUCAUGCUCACCAAAACAUUUCCUUAGUAUUUGCAGCUUUGACCACAGGUGACUUUUUGAUGCUGGGCUUUUUGUUUGAUUAUCAAGACGAUAAGCCUCCUACACGGUGAAGGGUAGGACUAUGAGGCAUUGAUGAUUUGUUUCUGGACUUGUAAGGCCUCAACCUCAAAGACAGAACUCAGCAGUAUUAGAGGGGAAGCAGUAUAGGGCAGUGUUCAUCCUGGAUCAGCCCAAAUUAGAUGUCCACAAGGAAGCCAUCUAUGCAGAACCUAAAGCUGCAGGAAAGUGAGCCUGCUAAGUCAGUUCAUAUGAAUGAAGAGAAUGACCAGGAUAUGUUGACAAGCAAAGACAAAGGAACUAGAUGGGUAGAAAGUUAAAGAGGAAGAAUAUAAGGAAAGUGGAUGGAUGAUGAAUAUGAUACUUGUGUUGCUAAAAAUGAUUUUUACAACCAAGAGAGUAUUGAAAGAUAAGCCAGGCAGAGUGUGUGCUUGCAAGAAGUUUGGGGAAGCAAUAGCAUGAACUGACAUCAGUAACAUUACAAGAAUUUUCACAGGUAAAGAUAAAAGGGUUUCUGACUGAGGGAACAGCAGGAUCAAAUUUGUGGAUGCCUAGAUGUGCCUAAUCUCUUCAUAAAAUACAGAAAGUCUAAACUACGGAAGUCUAAAGGGGAAAGAGACUACCAAAAAGUCAUGUUGAGAAGGAUCCUGAAUUCCAUACUGCAGGCCAGUUUCUGUCUGCAACCUGGAAUCAUCUAAAAUUUCUGGAAGAAUCAAGUGGACAUCACUGAUACUUAUUUUAGGAAAUAAGCUUUGGAAACUGCACAAAGAGUAAAUGGGGGAGGUGAGAGUCUGGAAGAAAAAAUUGGCAAUGAUGUUCUCUCUUUUAUUGGGUGCUAUCCAUUCAGGGAUUAUGAGUGUUGCAGGCAGAUUGUCUUCAAGGUGUAUCUUGGUUGAAAUAAACAGCACCAAGGAUUAAAGCAACAGUAUAGAACUUCCCAGUACAGAUUAAGAGUAUAGUUUUAGUGAAUCCAGAAGGGUAAU